UGAAGGAUAUUAGAUUUUCUUAAUACUCUGUUCGUUUCCCAGCAACUCGGCAACAGGACGUUGCCGAGAGUGAGACCUGAGCCACGGAUGGCGAAUGUCGAGCGAUUGCGUCAACUCCCCACAAAUUUACUCAGAGUAUUUAGAAAAUCUUAUACCCGUA
rnacentral:ncRNA from 1 species